rnacentral:lncRNA from 1 species
AGAUUUACUGCAAAAUAGAGUCGGGAGUCAAAUAUGGAGUGGAGUUGCAGUGCUCUCAAACACUCCUCUGCCAAAAAUUCUACUUUCAUAUAUUUUCUCCAAUUUUUUAUUUAUGAUUUAUUUAAAUCAUAAAAAGAGUAAAAACUACGAAACCAAAGAACAUCUAAUUAAAUAAAACUAUAACAAGUAGGUUAUCCAAACCCGGAUUCAU